UACUUUCGGUAGGUGAGGCUACCACAGAGAUAGGAAUUUCCUAAGAUUGCUGCCGCGAAUUUGUGGAGACACAAAGAGAUGGUUAGCAGGCUAUGUCGUCCAAAAAGGCAUAACCUAAUGCAAUUUAUAUAUGCUCUGUGAAGCUAAAGCUUGAACGACUGGA
rnacentral:sRNA from 1 species